GGGGAAUAUUGCACAAUGGGGGAAACCCUGAUGCAACAACGCCGCGUGAAGGAUGAAGGUUUUCGGAUUGUAAACUUCUUUAGUCAGGGACGAAAAAAAUGACGGUACCUGAAGAAUAAGCCACGGCUAACUACGUGCCAGCAGCCGCGGUAAUACGUAGGUGGCGAGCGUUGUCCGGAAUUACUGGGUGUAAAGGGCGUGUAGGCGGGAAUGUAAGUCAGAUGUGAAAUCCCAGGGCUUAACUUUGGAGCUGCAUCUGAAACUAUGUUUCUUGAGUGCCGGAGAGGAAAGCGGAAUUCCUAGUGUAGCGGUGAAAUGCGUAGAUAUUAGGAGGAACACCAGUGGCGAAGGCGGCUUUCUGGACGGUAACUGACGCUGAGGCGCGAAAGCGUGGGGAGCAAAC
rnacentral:rRNA from 1 species